CCUACGGGUGACAGCAGUAGGGAAUAUUGCUCAAUGGGGGAAAUCCUGAAGCAGCAACGCCGCGUGGAGGAUGAAGGUUUUCGGAUUGUAAACCCCUUUUGUUAGAGAAGAUAAUGACGGUAUCUAACGAAUAAGCACCGUCUAACUCCGUGCCAGCAACCGUGGUUACAUGGAGGGUGCAACCGUUACUCGGAAUCACCGGGCGUAAAGGGCGCGUAGGCGGGCUAGCAAGUCAGGUGUGAAAUCCUUUGGCUUAACCAUAGCACUGCAGUUGAAACUGUUAUUCUAGAGUAUGGGAGAGGUAGGUGGAAUUCUUGGUGUAGAGGUGAAAUCCGUAGAGAUCAAGAGGAAUACUCAUUGCGAAGGCGACCUGCUAGAGCAUAACUGACGCUGAUGCGCGAAAGCGUGGGGAGCAAACAGGAUUAGAUACCCCAGUAGUC
rnacentral:rRNA from 1 species